rnacentral:lncRNA from 1 species
GACUAAUCCAAUAUGGCUGAGAUCCUUAUCAAAAGGAGAAAUUCAGUCACAGGGACAGACAGGUACAGAGAGAAGAUGAUGUCAAGAGACAACGGGAGAAUGCCACACGAAGGUGGAGGAUUGGAGUAAUGCAUCUACAAGCCAAGAAAACCGUGUUGGGAGUUUGAUUAGACGGCUGAGAAAGACAGCAAAUCUACAGGGUUUGUCAAAGAUAAGAUCGUUGUCAUGGCAUGACAAGGAUGACCUUUCCAGCCUGCAAUACCUGCUUGACCACUAAGACCAAACAGCUCAAAUUAAAGGUAACAAAUUCCGCAGAGGCAAUUGUUCAACACAGGAAAAAGAAACCACUUUAAGGAUUUUAAACUGGAAGAGAUUUUACAUAAGCUGUUUUAAACAAAACCAUUGGAUGACCCGGAGUAACAGUGUCGGAAACUCAGCUGAGCUGGAUAGAGAACUGAGCUGCCCGUUGUUGGAGAAGUUGAUUAAAGCAGCAGCCGAAGAUCGAAGUAACAAUCAAGACUGUAAUCACUUACUGCAAUAGUAUAAGCAAGAGGCCAAAACCAAAGAAACUGCCAACUCACCCAGGUCUUCUAAAUUCCCCAGAAAGGUGCACUAGUGGAGGGUCAGUGAAUCAGGACAGACAUGGGGGUCAGCUCACGAUUGAGGAAGCCCCAAACAAAAAUCUCCAGUAGUAUUAUGAACCCUGGAGCAGGAGGUUGGAGUGAGACAAGGAGAGCUAGGAGUAGAAGAGUAUGGAGUCAGAGGAGGGAACGGUUUCUUAAGGUCUCCUCCCACUCUACUCUUAAGAAAGCUUCAGUAGAAGCACCUGAAGAAAACUCCAGCAGGAAGCCCUCAGAUAAAGAAACUUCUGAAUGAAGACACCUAGGCUAGGAAUGCAAAUAUGUUUAAGAGCAUGGGCCAUUAGGGGAAUCUGAGUUCCAGAAUGCAAUUCUCUUUAAAGAUUGCAAUGCACUGGGUAUGCCCCAAGUCUGGGGAGGGCAACUUUCCUCGGAGGGGUUUGCCAGAUAAAGCCUUUGUCAUUGCCUGUGGUUGGGCCUGAAAUAUCAAACAUAGAUUUUUGGCCAGGACUCCUCAGCAGGAUCUAGUCAGGGCCUUCACAAAGUACAUUCAGAAUGACAAUUGACCCAUCAGAAAGCCAUCAUGCCACCACUUGAUAUUUUAAAUGAAAAGACCCACCAACAUAUCUGAUAUCCAUAUCUGAUACCCAGUAGAAUUGGAAUGCUGCUAUCACCACUGUCACUAUUGUCACUACCACACCUGCCUCUAGAAACCCAGCAAUCUGGAGGAUGGACCCUGGAUAAUGUUGCAGGCAAACCUCAUUUCUCUACAACUGUGCUUUCCACCAACAGUCAAUUAAAGGAAGACGAAGAUCGAGUGUGUGUGGAUGAUACAGCAAAUAAACCUUCUUCUAGUUCUUAAAGGUUAUGGUUUUCAGUGUUUAGUGAGCAGCCGUGUUCAUCUUUAAAGGAUAGAAAAAUGCAGGAGGCAUCUUGUAUCCAUGAAGAUACUAAAACACGGAUUUCCUCAGGAAAUUGAUCACUCAAGCAUCCAUAAUCUUAGUAGACUGCCCUUAUAGUCGUAUUGCAGAAUGUGUGAUCUGCCAUCUACUGAGGGCUCAUUUUUCCCUCUCCUCUCUCAUCCAAGAUUGGUGAUAGUUUCAAAUUUUUCUCCCACUAUUAUGUAGAAUAAUUUCCAAACUUGACACUCAAUUGAAUCAUGGUGUCCAGGAAAAUAGAUAAAAUAAAUAUGACUUCAUAUACCAGAAGUCAUAUUCCUUUGAAUACAAUCAGGGCCAUAAAUGGCACUUGCUUCUAUAACACAAAGUGCUAUUAUAAUUAUAUACAUGAUUUUUUAAAUAAUUAAGUAACUUGGAACCAGUUUCUAUUACAAUAAUUAUAAGAAACAAAGACCUCCAACUGAAUGAACCCCUCUGAAAUAUUUUAAUAAACUCUGAGGAGUACUAUUUGUCAAGCAAAGAAAUACUGAAUUAAGGUAAAUGCCAGCUUAGGAUGAAAAGAACAGCAACAGUGCCUACCUUCAUUACCUCAGCCUCUCCCUGGCUAAGAUAAUCACUUAAUCUUUUAUGCCUUUGCUAAAACCUCAUUAGUAAAAAGGAGACCUGCCUACUAAGCAUAAGGGUAAGGCUUUAAUGGACUUUAGAAAUCAUUUACAUUUAUGACUCAAAGCACUGAAGUGCAAAUUCUUUUUAUUUGAAUAUUUGAGGGCAUUAAAUGAGCAUUUUUAAUGGAUUUCAAUUGUCAGGAUAAAAUAAAAUUUCUCAAGGGGAAGCUGAAUUUUAACAAACAUUAAAAUCAAAGAAGUAAAAAGAUGAAUAAAUGGAGAAAAA